UACCCGCUGAACUUAAGCAUAUC
rnacentral:rRNA from 1 species